UACCAUAAAAACUGAAGCAGCAAAAAAGCAACUUUGUGAAAAACAAAAUUUGCUAGUCUCAAAACCUUUGGCCAUGGCUGUAUUUUGGAGUUUUGGCCACGAGCACAGAUUGGCCACUAGAUGGGAGCAGUCAAUAACAUUUUAGUAGAAAUAUGACAAAACAGAUCACAAAAUGUUUGAUUUCCAGAAUAACAGGAAGCUGUCAUAUCUGCUACAGGACAUGCUUUAUGUGCUCCUGAAUUAAUGGAUUUAUUCAACAUUAAAACAUGUACUGGACCAGACAGCAGUGACUAGUGUGGUAGAUUUAGGUCUGUUUACUGCUCUGUCCCAUUCAGAAGCUCCACUCUCCAUCCUCAGUCUGCUCAGUAGUCUACUGGCAGUCUCUCCAUAUCUGCUAGUGUCCAUCGUGCUGGGGGUCAAAUGCUACAGAGCUCACACUCUGACUGAAACCAGAAGCCAGAAUGCAGUCUCAGAGGAGUGAGAAUCUAAAAAUACUGAAGAUGGAAGGACAUUGUUCUGUUUGCUUGAAGUCAUUUCACAUGUGAGAUUGAAUGUUUGAACUCUGCUAACUUACUGCCAGCUGACAACCAGUUUAUAUGAAGCAUCGUGCAGUAAUGUUUUCACUUUUAAGCACAUGUUACUAUUGUGUGUGUCAUUUCUUCCAAUGUUAGAAUAUUCUCAUUUAUAUUUGUGAUCUUUUACUUUGUUGGACUGGUUUACUGCUUUUAUGUUCUUAUUUUAUUAACUAAAUUUAAAAAUCGAAUAAAUUGUCUGCAUUAUCAUUGCA